GAGUUGUAAUUUGUAGAGAGUGCUUCGGGGGAGACCACGGUCUAAGUCCAUUGGAACAUGGCGUCAUAGAGGGUGAGAAUCCCGUAUGUGACCGUGGCUCAAGCCCAUGUGAAGCCUCUUCGACGAGUCGAGUUGUUUGGGAAUGCAGCUCAAAAUGGGUGGUAAAUUUCAUCUAAAGCUAAAUACUGGCUGGAGACCGAUAGCGCACAAGUAGAGUGAUCGAAAGAUGAAAAGCACUUUGGAAAGAGAGUCAAACAGUACGUGAAAUUGUUGAAAGGGAAGCGCUUGCGACCAGACCUGCCCGUGGGCGAUCAGCCGCUGUUCUCAGCGGUGCACUCGCUCCACGAUCAGGCCAGCAUCGGUUUCGGCGGUCGGAUAAAGGCCUUGGGAAUGUAGCUUCUCUUCGGGGGAGUCUUAAAGCCCCCGGUGCAAUGCGGCCAGCCGGGACCGAGGACCGCGCUUCGGCUAGGAUGCUGGCGUAAUGGUCGUAAGCGACCCGUCUUGAAACACGGACCAAGGAGUCUAACAUCUAUGCGAGUGUUUGGGUGUCAAACCCAUGCGCGGAAUGAAAAUGAACGGAGGUGAGAACCCUUAAGGGCGCAUCAUCGACCGAUCCAGAUGUCUUCGGAUGGAUUUGAGUAUGAGCAUAGCUGUUGGGACCCGAAAGAUGGUGAACUAUGCCUGAAUAGGGUGAAGCCAGAGGAAACUCUGGUGGAGGCUCGCAGCGGUUCUGACGUGCAAAUCGAUCGUCGAAUUUGGGUAUAG
rnacentral:rRNA from 1 species